AAAUGGUGAACUCACUCAAAAUAGCUGGAGUUACUGACAGAUCGGUGGUAGUGGGUGAUAUUUUUUUAAAG